ACCUGAGCUGGUCUGCAGACU
rnacentral:miRNA from 1 species